rnacentral:rRNA from 1 species
GACGAACGCUGGCGGCGUGCUUAGCACAUGCAAGUCGAACGGUAAGGCCCUUCGGGGUACACGAGUGGCGAACGGGUGAGUAACACGUGGGUGAUCUGCCCUGCACUUCGGGAUAAGCCUGGGAAACUGGGUCUAAUACCGGAUAGGACCACUGCCUGCAUGGGUGGUGGUGGAAAGCUUUUGCGGUGUGGGAUGGGCCCGCGGCCUAUCAGCUUGUUGGUGGGGUGAUGGCCUACCAAGGCGACGACGGGUAGCCGGCCUGAGAGGGUGACCGGCCAGCCUGGGGCUGGGAUGCGGCCAGGACUCCUACGGGAGGCAGCGGGGGGGAAUUUUGCACAAUGGGCGAAAGCCUGAUGCGGCGACGCCGCGGGAGGGAUGACGGCCUUCGGGUUGUAAACCUUUUUCAGCACCGACGAAGGGAAAGUGAGGGUGGGUGCAGAAGAAGGACGGGCCAACUAGGUGCCAGCAGCCGCCGCUG